UACGUAGGGGGCAAGCGUUGUCCGGAAUUAUUGGGCGUAAAGAGCGCGUAGGCGGUCCGGUAAGUCGGUUGUGAAAGUCGGGGGCUCAACCCUCGGAUGCCGGUGGAUACUGUCGGGCUUGAGUACGGAAGAGGCGAGUGGAAUUCCUGGUGUAGCGGUGAAAUGCGCAGAUAUCGGGAGGAACACCAAUGGCGAAGGCAGCUCGCUGGGACGUUACUGACGCUGAGACGCGAAAGCGUGGGGAGCAAACAGG
rnacentral:rRNA from 1 species